UGCCUAUUGGUGCCGAUAGACUGUAAGACCGCUUAAAAAAGCAUUCCAUCGAAGACUCGAGCCGAAUCUAUCCACAACCAUGAGCAGUGGCCCGCGUACACCAUUGAUACCAAAAUAUCUUGCCCUGCGUCAAGAGAUCCUGGCUGGCAAUGGUGUAAACUACAAUUUCCCACUUGGACGUUCCUACGAAUAUUCAUACCCAGGUUAUAUGGAAGUAUACGAUGGAAGUGGUUUAAGUUUUUUCGGCUACAUCAAUAACCCAUCGCCUGUAUGUGAACUUGGACUGGAAGGUUAUUAUAAUGGAAUAGUUUUAAUCAAAACAAAUUCAAGUUCAAAGUUAACCUUAAUAACCAGGCCUGACGGCGGUUCGAUUACAUACACAGGAGCAGGCAAUAAUUAUUAUCAAGGCCAACCUUUUGCGUUUAGAUUCCGUGCAGCGUACGUGAAGCGUCUAGACAAAAAUUCUGUUACGG